rnacentral:rRNA from 1 species
AGCGAACGCUGGCGGCAGGCCUAACACAUGCAAGUCGAACGAAGUCUUCGGACUUAGUGGCGGACGGGUGAGUAACACGUGGGAACGUACCUUUUGGUUCGGAACAACUCAGGGAAACUUGAGCUAAUACCGGAUGAGCCCUUAGGGGGAAAGAUUUAUCGCCGAAAGAGCGGCCCGCGUUAGAUUAGCUAGUUGGUGAGGUAAAGGCUCACCAAGGCUACGAUCUAUAGCUGGUCUGAGAGGAUGAUCAGCCACACUGGGACUGCAGACACGGCCCAGACUCCUACGGGAGGCAGCAGUGGGGGAUCUUGCGCAAUGGGCGAAAGCCUGACGCAGCCAUGCCGCGUGAAUGAUGAAGGUCUUAGGAUUGUAAAAUUCUUUUACCAGGGACGAUAAUGACGGUACCUGGAGAAAAAGCCCCGGCUAACUUCGUGCCAGCAGCCGCCGUAAUAC